CAUGGCCUACGGGAGGCAGCAGUGGGGGAUAUUGGACAAUGGGGGAAACCCUGAUCCAGCGAUGCCGCGUGAGGGAAGAAGGUUUUCGGAUUGUAAACCUCUGUGGAGGGGGACGAUAAUGACGGUACCCCUUUAGGAAGCCACGGCUAACUACGUGCCAGCAGCCGCGGUAAUACGUAGGGGGCAAGCGUUAUCCGGAAUCACUGGGUGUAAAGGGAGCGUAGACGGCUGAGCAAGCCUGAAGUGAAAGGCGGGGGCCCAACCCCCGGCCUGCUUUGGGACCUGUACGGCUGGAGUGC
rnacentral:rRNA from 1 species